GACGAACGCUGGCGGCGUGCCUAAUACAUGCCAGUAGAACGCUGAAGAGAGGAGCUUGCUCUUCUUGGAUGAGUUGCGAACGGGUGAGUAACGCGUAGGCAACCUGCCUUGUAGCGGGGGAUAACUAUUGGAAACGAUAGCUAAUACCGCAUAACAAUGGAUGACACAUGUCAUUUAUUUGAAAGGGGCAAUUGCUCCACUACAAGAUGGACCUGCGUUGUAUUAGCUAGUAGGUGAGGUAAUGGCUCACCUAGGCGACGAUACAUAGCCGACCUGAGAGGGUGAUCGGCCACACUGGGACUGAGACACGGCCCAGACUCCUACGGGAGGCAGCAGUAGGGAAUCUUCGGCAAUGGGGGCAACCCUGACCGAGCAACGCCGCGUGAGUGAAGAAGGUUUUCGGAUCGUAAAGCUCUGUUGUAAGUCAAGAACGGGUGUGAGAGUGGAAAGUUCACACUGUGACGGUAGCUUACCAGAAAGGGACGGCUAACUACGUG
rnacentral:rRNA from 1 species